UAUAUAUCAAAAUGAAUUGAUAAAAUUUGUGAGAUAUUUUAUUCAUCUUUUCUUUUCUAGGGCCACAAUAGUCAACCAAGCAAUUCUGAAAAAGAAUCCCUCUCAUAAGCCACAUGAAGCCAAAAAGUGGUUUAAUUUCACUCCUCACAUGAUCACAACUUCAAUUUGUAUCAGUUAAAUCACUUGCAUUGUUUUUUUCUCCGUAAGGUAAUUGUUGCUAGAACUUGGUUGAAUUUGAGUUGAAUUGUAUAGAUGAUAACCAAGCAAGUUUUUUUGAAUCUAGUUCUACAAUAAAAAAUAGGAUAUAAGACUUCCUUAUUCAGUCAACACGUUCCUCAGCCUUACUGUUGUUUAGCUUUUCUUUUCCCUCCAAAAGGGGAUAUUGAUUUAAGUGGAGUUUGAGUCAUACUUUUAUUGUGGGUGCCAUUAUGCCUAUUUUGUGUGGCUAUGUGGCUUUUACUUUAGUUUCUUGUGCAAUAAAUUUUAUUGCGAAAACAAAUUUCAGGCGUCACCUAUCAAUAUUGGGG
rnacentral:misc_RNA from 1 species